rnacentral:misc_RNA from 1 species
GUAUUGUAUUGCGUUAAACGCGAUGUACAUUCCAUAAGACUUCAUCACAGUGUGUGUGUGUAAAGACAUAGAACCACAGCAGGAGGGCAGGGCCCUCCACGCCAUAGAACUACAGAGCGUGCACAGGUGUGAGUGGAUGUGUAAACAGAGCGUGCACAUGCCCCCAUUUGAAGGCCAGCAACAACUCGUGUCGACAGUUCGGUAAUGAUCCUUCCGCAGGUUCACCUACGGAAA